UGCGUAGGCGGUUUGUUAAGUCUGUCGUGAAAUCCCCGGGCUCAACCUGGGAAUGGCGAUGGAUACUGGCAAGCUAGAGUGUGUCAGAGGAUGGUGGAAUUUCCGGUGUAGCGGUGAAAUGCGUAGAGAUCGGAAGGAACAUCAGUGGCGAAGGCGGCCAUCUGGGACAACACUGACGCUGAAGCACGAAAGCGUGGGAGCAAACA
rnacentral:rRNA from 1 species